UGAGAACUACGGGUUUAAUCUAAUAUUAUCUCAUAUAAUUCUCAUAAGCUAAUUAGGCAGGUAUUUUUAUUCCUGUUUACCCAUGAGGAAACAGGCUUGGAACAGUUUAAAACAAAAAGAAACCCAACCAAGUUUACACAGCUGGCAAGGCACUGAUCUAGGAUGUAACCUCAAGUCUACACGACCCGAGUACAAGAACCCACACCCUUAACCACCCUACUGGGCUUCUUAUACAGAACCUUCUUUAAAUCUUAAAUUUCUUAAAGCACUUGUACUCUCCAGAACUUCCUUGACCUGUACAGUGGCCCUGGGAGGUAGGAAAGGUGGAUGACGCAUUCACACGCUACAGGGAGGCAGGGAACUUGCCUACAUUUAGGCAGAGUUAGUGCCCGAAACAGGGCUAGAACUCAGUUCUCGUGACCAUUUUUUCCUCUGUCCGGUCAACCACUGCAUGUCCUGCUGUCCUGCAGACAGACAGGAUGGGGCCAAGGCUUCCUUCCACUUACAUGCUUCAUGCUUGCCGUAGCCAGAAGCCUCACAUUCUGUCCAGUCAGGUAGCUGCAAGUCAGCCUCAGGCAGACAGACAGUGGCGACAGCGUUGCUCUCCUGGGCACAGGAUAGUGAAUCCGAUUUCAGCUGCAGCAGGGCUGGGAGGGAGAGCAAGGAGGUGCAUAAGUCCUGUGUGAAGAGUUGUUUCUCAUUUUGCAGGAGCCAUGAGGGAGGGAGGGAGGGAGGGUUUGGAAGAAGAGGUGUGUGUAUGCAAAUGUGGUGUGUGUGGUGAUCUGGGGAGACUUGAACUGUUGCAGAGAGAAUAAUGGCCCCUUACCAAUGUCAUUGUUGUACGUGUCAUCAUCGAAUUCCUUAUGGACAAUAUAUUUUUCUACUUCAAAUGUCUGCUCCUCCUCUCCAGGGACCACCCGGUAUGUUCUGCCCAAGACCACUUUGACGUGGUGGGGAGGAAACCUAAUGAAAAAACAUUAGAGCAUUGAGCUUGUUGUCACUGUUCCUCUAAUGGACACACCUGGUUUCAAGGCUCUAGAGAGGAGAUAAGCUCUUGGAUUCCCCAAAACCCCUACCUGUCCAGGAAGCAGUGAGCAGCAGACAGGACCCAGCAGGAGCUGAUCAGUAUCCCUCCACACAGAAACCUCUCUUCAGGUGACCUCCUGUUCUUGACAAAGAUGGCGGCCUGCCAGGGAUGAGAGGCGAUGUCCGCAAAGAGCCCUCCUUUAAUGCGAAACUGAGGCUGCUUGUACUGUCUCAGGCCACAGGUGGCUGGGAGAGGUCAGGAGAGAGAACGGAGAUCAGAUCUGCAGGCCUGAGGUAAGGCCCUUGAACACCCAUGUCGGUGUCUUCUCUUGGAACCCUGAGUUUCUGUGGCCUUUCUACACUUCUACAGGUUAAUCAGAGUGACAUAACAGUCUCCAUGGUAAUAAAAAGCACAGCUCACUACUCUACAUACAUUAUCUUUAACCCUCAAAACACUGAGCGUCAGAGAGGUUGAGACAUGUUGCCCACGUUCACGAUGGCACCUGGAUUUGAACCCAGGUCUGAUCGACUCCAAAGCUGGCCAUCUCUCUGCUCUGCUUCUCUGCCUCUAGUUUUUCCUCUUGCCAAUUCCUGAUUAAGAAAUCAAGAAGCAGACUACCGAAACCCCUUGCAGUUUCCUCCUGGGGAAUAUCUACCCCAUUUCUUUCUUAUCUCCUCAGUCUUACUCAUCCUUCAAGGCCCAGGUGAAAUCCUACCUCCUUAUGAAGUUUUCUUCCCAGGAGCCUCUGAGCAUGUUUGCUGACACCACUCGCUGAGGAUUUACUACAAAUCUCCUUGGUUGUGAGUUAAUCAGUAGUUUGUUUGGUUAGUUUGUUUGGUUGUGAGUUAAUCGGUAGUUUGGUAGUUUGUUUGGUAGAUCAUUGUGGCCGAUCUAUGUGUUUACAGGACCUAAGUCAUAAUCGAUUCUCAGACAAUUUUCAAGCUAAAGCCUCAUUUGUUUGCAACACCUAAAUUUUCUGUUUCCCACACCCCUAUUGCUCACCUGGGUGCCCUGUCUUAAAUGGGUUUAAUGAGAAAGUCAGAAGCAAUCAGGGUAGCAGUACACUCCCAAGAGGUGUGGGAUGUGGAAUCAAGCCCCAGCUCAACUCCUCAGGAGCCCAGUGAGCCCUGGCAAGGCCACACGACUUCUGAGAGGUCAUUUCCUAAUCAGUCAAAUGGAAAUAGGAAGACUUCCUCUCACCACAGUGUUGGGGAAAUGCUGUGAAAGCACUUUGUUAACUAAUAAGCAAUAUAUCCUCCCCCUCCCCAUGUUCACCCUACCACCACCACCAUCAUCAUAAACACAUCUAGAGAUAUAAGUUUAGAGCCUACUGUGGAGAGCCCACGCUGUUCAUUUCUUUCUUUUUGCCUCCUCCUCCUCACCCCUCCCCCACGUGGGUGGAAAAUGAACACCUGCCCACGAGUGUUGCUGCCCCACCAUUGCUCGAGUCAUGGAAGCCCCUUUCCCCACCAAGUCUGGCCUUCCUGGAAGACUUGGCAGCUAUCCUGUCUGACCCGGACGGCUGUGAGGACACAGAAAGUGGCAGAGGAAAUGGUCAAGAAGUGAGAGUGGACAAAGGAAAGUGGCCAGGAGCCAGCUCUUACAGCACUGCGGCACGUCGCAGAACUCCCAGGUCAACUUGCCGUCCUUCUGCACAUGGCACCAGGGCUUGGCAUCCCCAUCUGGAUUUCUAGAGGAUAAGGAAGUGUAAGGGUUUCGGAUGCUUAAUUUCUCCAGACAGUAAAUCACAGGACAUGGAAGAGGGGAAGGAGGCUCAGGAGGCCAACGGCAAUAACUGAACUGGGAGGGCGGACCCUGAGUUCAAGACUUGGCUCUGUCACAGAUGCCCACCGGGUCUCACAGCUGUCCCUGUCAGCCCACCAACCGAUAAGGCAGGCUGGCUGCUGGAGCUACUGGAAGUCAGGAGGUAAAGCAGGUGCCUGGGCCUGCCCAGCUGGCUGGGGUAGAGCUGGAUUUCUGAUUCGCACCUACGGAUCUGCCUGUUGGGCUCAGCGCUCUGGUCUCUGUGGUGGUUUGGAGCUGUAUGUACCCCAGAAAAACAUGUUCUUAAACUCAAUCCAUUCCUGUGGGUGUGGACCCACUAAUGUAAUUCAGACACAGAGAGAGAGAGCCGGGGAAAUAAUAGGCUGAAGGUCAAUGGUACACAGAAGAUAAAGGAGAGGCCAGGAGAGGCUGUCAUGUGCAUGGCCAUGUGACAGAGGAGCCCAGGAUCAGGGGCAGCUGGCCUCAGAACACCAGUCUUCAGGAAGAAAGCAUCACCCUGAUGAUGGCUUGUACUUUGGGACUUUUCCUGGCCUCAAAACCAUGAGCUAAUAUGUUCCCAUUGUUUACACCAACCCAUUGCAUGGCAUUUGCUUGAGCAGCCCAGAAAACUGUAAGUUUUCAGCUGAUUCUUGGGUGAUCUUUCCCAGCCCCGACCUUUGCCCCUGCCUCCAUAUGCUUCCUUUCUUUUCUGGGCAGAUUUGGGAGCUGGGAUCGCAGUCCGUCUCUCUCACCGUCCCACCUGCCCAGCUGCCCUCUCACCUAUUUCACAGCUUUUCCCAAUAAAUCCUUCAGGGCACUGGCAGACGAAAUCGGAGAAGUACAGAGCCUGCCAGCACGUGCCCCCAUUGAAGCACCUUGGUUCACUGCAACCUGUCAAGUAUAAACAAGGGAACCCUUAAUUACUUUCAGAGCUGCUCCAAGAAUAAUAUAACAGUUAAAAUGUCAAGAGUGCUUUCUAUAUGCCAUUCACUCCUCUAAGAGGUUUACAAAAACUAGCUCAUUUAAUCCUUGCAGCAAACUACAAAGCAGGUUCUUUUAUUAUCUCCAUUAUACAAAUAAGGAAACUGAGGCUCGGCCAGGGAAGGCACUGACCUAAGGACACACAGUGUCCGUGUUUGUUCUGCACCUUCGCCUCUGCCAGGGGCAAAUGUGCUAGUUUGGAUAUAUUAUGUUCCGCCAAAAGCCAUGUUCUUUGAUGCAAUCUUGUGGGGGCAGAUGCGUUAGUGUUGAUUAGAUUGGAAUCCUUUGAGUGUUUCCAUGGAGA